rnacentral:rRNA from 1 species
UACCUCUCCUACUGGGUGAGGAUAAAGUUCCUCUAAAAGUGUUUUCUAGGAUGGGAUAGGGGCCUACUCCACAACCUAACGUAACGAGGUUUUCAAUGUCUCUUUUACUUGUACUACAAUACAUCCGGAAUAAGUCUUCUCCUCUAAAGAUUACGAAAUAAAGUUUAGCCCGGAGAUUUUCGAGGCCCUACACUACCUGAUGGACGUUUCAAAAAGGUUGCCUUAACCCGAGAUGAGUUUUGACUUUAACAACGACGCCAAGCACUCAAGAAACGCAGACCCUAAUACGGCCUACGACAGUUACUAUACCGAUAUCACGAUUAAGGAUUCUAAGGAAAGGGUUCCUGGACU